rnacentral:rRNA from 1 species
UGGGGAAUCUUCCGCAAUGGACGAAAGUCUGACGGAGCAACGCCGCGUGAGUGAAGACGGCCUUCGGGGUGUAAAGCUCUGUGUUCCGGGACGAAAGAGCCUGAGGUAAAUAGCCUAAGGAAGUGACGGUACCGGAAAAGCAAGCCACGGCUAACCACGUGCCAGCAGCCGCGGUAAUACGUAGGUGGCAAGCGUUGUCCGGAAUUAUUGGGCGUAAAGCGCGCGCAGGCGGCUUCCUAAGUCCAUCUUAAAAGUGCGGGGCUUAACCCCGUGAUGGGAUGGAAACUGGGAAGCUGGAGUAUCGGAGAGGAAAGUGGAAUUCCUAGUGUAGCGGUGAAAUGCGUAGAGAUUAGGAAGAACACCGGUGGCGAAGGCGACUUUCUGGACGAAAACUGACGCUGAGGCGCGAAAGCGUGGGGAGCAAACAGG